GCCGAGGUAGCUCAGGGGUAGAGCAGUGGACUGAAAAUCCUCGUGUCGGCGGUUCAAAUCCGCCCCUCGGCA
rnacentral:tRNA from 1 species